GAACGUUUUUCGGUUGCAGGGGGCCGCGGGCGAUCAUGCCGCCCUCCGCAUCAACACGGUGUCGCCGUUCGAGUCGGCGGACGAUUU
rnacentral:tRNA from 1 species